CCUGUGUAGUCAGAGACGACCAGACCAGCCUCUCCUUCGGUCUCGGCUCUGCUUAAUCUACUGAGCACAGCUCCAGGAAUGAUAAUGGCUUACCAGUGUCCCUACUCUCUGAGCACAUCACCAUUACAUGGUUGUUGCCUACAUUUCUAGAUGGAACAAUUGUGGAUGACAAGAUUUAGGACAUGACUCGUGAGCGUAUGACUGGAGUGAAGCAAAUGUGAAGGUCACUGGAGAGGAAGACCAUGCAGUAGCUGGGAUGCUAGAGGACUUGGGAUGGAGAGGAACGAGGGAAUUCAAGAUCACUACUUCAGUGAAGGAAAAUGAAUGGAAAAGCAUUUCUUCCCCAUUCCAGGAGUCCCUAGCAUUUUCCUCAUCAUCCUAAUCUGUGUCUCCCUCAGAAUCCGAGGUCUCAUAUGAUCAGGCCACAUAGGAACCCCUGCCCCAGGCCUAGAAUCUAGCUUUGCAACACCUCCUCCCUCUCACUAUGUCAGGGGCUCACUGGUGAGAGAGUGCCAGUGCCUGCUUUCCACACGGUGGGGAAGCUGAUCCUGGGGAUAUGACAGGGUACAGGUUGCCACUCUGGCUGCUGGGGCUUGUAGGGGGUAAGGGGCAACACAAGUUGAGGAAAGAUGUGCUCCUGCUACCAUCUUGACUGUGGAAAGCACUUUUCUAUAACAGUCCUGGGAUCCAUAGUUGGCCUCUAUAGAACCAAUGGCAGGGAUAGCAUGUAUGUUGGAGUCAAACAUCUUUGUAGAGCUGGCUCUGGAUUCUAAUCAUUACCCUUUAUAAUAAUUUUAUGGGAGAAUUCAUUCAGUUUCAAACAAUGGACUUAGAAAUGGCUCUUCUAAAUCAGAGAUUUCUGUAUUAAAAUUGUGUUGGACUCUAAAUACCUCAGGAAAUAGAGUGGCAAAAAUCAUGCUAUCAAUGGGCAUUUUUUUCUUUUUUCUUUACAUGUCUUUGAGGUUCUAGGAGUUGAGAUAGAAGAUUGACUUGUCAGCAAUGAUCCUUGCUAAGAGUGCUUUGUAUUUGCAAUUUAGAUAUUUGAACAUUUAAAAAUAUCCUUUAUUGGGGCACCUGGGUGGCUCAGUUGGUUAAGUGACUGCCUUCAGCUCAGGU